UGCUAAUGGAUUGGGCUGGAAUGGUUUAAAGAGUUUGGAUUGUAUAUUGGACAUCUUUGGAUCGGUAGCAAUGGUUUCCACGUGCAUAUUGGAUUGGGCUGGUUUGGGACUAUGGAGCUAAUGGAUUGGGCUGGUUUGGUUAAUUUUACAGGUUCCAAAUGAGUUACAACCCGUGGAUGCAAACAAGUUACAACCCACAUCGAUAGCAACUCAGUGUCUGAGUCUCGUCAGUUCGUUCGUCACCCACGGGCCGCGGCCGCGGCCGCAGCCGCCGUUGCGCCGGCGCCGCGCCUCGUCCGCCAGCGCGCCGCGUACUCGCUCCGCCGCGGCCUCCGUUCCCACCACCACCCCGCCCAGGGCCUCGCCUCCCCACACGUACCCCCUCUCGGCGUCCAUACCGACACCCGUGUCUACAAGCCCCACCACCAGCGCCUCGUUGUAGAUCUGCUCCGCGCCCACCGGCGAACACCGGCCACGGCAGCACCGGGACGCCCGCACCGCCGCCUCGGUCACCGCUGGGAAGCCCCUUUCUGCUGCUGCGGCCAUCGCUGCCCUCGAUACUCAACGUCGUGCCGUCGGAGCCGCACAAGUGGGACCUCUACUCAGUGGUUGGUUCAUCAUCUGCAUUUGGUAUUUCAAACCGAAGGAUCCUGGAAGCAAGGGAGCACUUGUUGCAAAGUUUACGGGCUCAGAAUAAGCAAGGGAGCAUUUUGUACUGCACUUCGAGCUUCAGAACUUGCACCUUGCCACCUCGAAGAACACUAUUCCUUUUGGGCUUGAAUUUGUUGUGUUAUGUGUUUCUAAUUGAUUAUGGAUCUCUCAGAUUAUCUGGCUAGCGACCAAAAAAAGUUUCUCAGAUUAUCUAGCUGGUUCUAGCGUGUUGCUGAGUUCAUUUUUCUGGUUACAUGCAUCCGUGCUGAGUCAUUGAUCUGGGCCGAGCAACCAUGUUAGCUUGUUGCGGGUCCUCCAUGACCACCCCCGCAUACCAAACCAUAGUUUUACAAUGGGUUAAAACCAUAGUUGUGGGGGUGGAUUGGUACAGUGUACAGAAUAAUUUAAUAUCAUAGUGGGGUGGAUUGGUUUA